rnacentral:lncRNA from 1 species
UCCGCAUCAAAAAAAGCCACCAUCAAAACUAUCCAAGGUGCAAAAGCAAACGGUUUUAAAAGGGAGUUAAAAAAUUGAUUUUGUAGUUUAGGGGGAAAACUAACGAUCACGAUAGUUGAGGAAGGUAAAUUAGAUUUUUUUUUUCAUUCCCAAGCUCCUAGAUUUUUUUUUAGUCCAAACACACAAGCUGUUACUUGCCAGUACGCGAAUACCAGUUCUUAGGCAAAUAUCGAGCUAGCUGAAACUAAUGAUAAACCUAAAACUGAUAUGUGUAACAAAAGUUAGGCCUUGUUU